AUGGCCAAGAAAUGCUCUGGCACUAUUGUCUCCUUCCUGCUCUGCUUGGUGCCAACAGCCACGACCGUGCCUGCUACACUUGUUGGCAUGGUGGAUGGAAAAGCCCACUUCAUGGGCAUGGUAGGCAUGGGGAACCGUCUGGGCCUCCCGGCCGUCGGAGACGGCUACGGCCAGGGCUUUAGUUCACCGUUGUUACAGACGAGCUGGUCAGGAUUGGACGAUGUUUUAGUAGCGACUGUCAGGGUGGGUGCAUCGGCUGGGGCUUCCGCAACAAUUGCAACAUUGUUUGGAAGAGGCGUGGGGAGCGGCUUCCAAGCGUAUGGUUUCGAUGGCACUAGCGGUGUCCCUUUCCGAAAAUGCUAG
rnacentral:rRNA from 1 species